rnacentral:rRNA from 1 species
AGGACGAACGCUGGCGGCGUGCUUAACACAUGCAAGUCGAGCGGUAAGGCCUUUCGGGGUACACGAGCGGCGAACGGGUGAGUAACACGUGGGUGAUCUGCCCUGCACUUCGGGAUAAGCCUGGGAAACUGGGUCUAAUACCGGAUAUGACCUCAGGUUGCAUGACUUGGGGGUGGAAAGAUUUAUCGGUGCAGGAUGGGCCCGCGGCCUAUCAGCUUGUUGGUGGGGUAAUGGCCUACCAAGGCGACGACGGGUAGCCGACCUGAGAGGGUGACCGGCCACACUGGGACUGAGACACGGCCCAGACUCCUACGGGAGGCAGCAGUGGGAAUAUUGCACAAUGGGCGAAAGCCUGAUGCAGCGACGCCGCGUGAGGAUGACGGCCUUCGGGUUGUAAACCUCUUUCAGCAGGACGAAGCGCAAGUGACGGUACCUGCAAGAAGAAGCGACCGGACUAACGUACGUGCCAGCCAGCCGC